AAACUGCGAUAAGUAGUGUGAAUUGCAUUUAGUGAAUCAUCGAAUCUUUGAACGCACCCUGCACUCACUGGUAUUCCGGUGAGUACGCCUGUUUCAGUAUCAUUGAAAACACUCAAUCAAAACAUUUUCUUUGGUUUGAUUGGCUUUGGGUCUAUCAAAAAGUUUGGCUUGUUUCUUACAAGCCAAGCGGCCUGAAAUAUAUUGUCUGGCUAAUUGCAUCGUUGAUGAUCGCUAUUAGACUUUGGCUUUUUUAAAUGAACUGGAGGUUGAUUAACCAGUUUUAGCUUUAGUCAAAUGGUCAUUGUAAAAAAAAUCUCGAUCUUGGCUAGGUGUUUAUAGCCGAAAAUUUUUUUUUGGCUAUAACCGAAACCAAUAUAAUCACAUUUAGUUAUCGAUCUGAAAUCAGGUGGGACUACCCGCUGAACUUAAGC
rnacentral:misc_RNA from 1 species